GACGAACGCUGGCGGCGUGCUUAACACAUGCAAGUCGAACGGAGUGGCGAACGGGUGAGUAACACGUGGGUGACCUGCCCUGCACUUCGGGAUAAGCCUGGGAAACUGGGUCUAAUACCGGAUAGUGUGGGAUGGGCCCGCGGCCUAUCAGCUUGUUGGUGGGGUAAUGGCCUACCAAGGCGGCGACGGGGAGCCGGCCUGAGAGGGUGGACGGCCACAUUGGGACUGAGACACGUCCCAGAAUCGUACGGGAGGAAGUAGUGGGGAAUAUGGCACAAUUGGCGGAAGGCUGAGGUAGGGACCUCGCGUGGGGGAUGACGGCUUUCGGGUUGUAAACUCCUUUCACCAUCGACGCGGUAGAUGGAGAAGAAGCACCGGCUAACUACGUGCCAGCAGCCGCGGUAAUUC
rnacentral:rRNA from 1 species